rnacentral:rRNA from 1 species
UACGUAGGGCGCAAGCGUUGUCCGGAAUUAUUGGGCGUAAAGAGCUCGUAGGCGGUCUGUUACGUCCGCCGUGAAAAUCCAGGGCUUAACCCUGGGCUUGCAGUGGAUACGGGCAGACUAGAGGCAGGUAGGGGAGAAUGGAAUUCCCGGUGUAGCGGUGAAAUGCGCAGAUAUCGGGAGGAACACCGGUGGCGAAGGCGGUUCUCUGGGCCUGUACUGACGCUGAGGAGCGAAAGCGUGGGGAGCGAACAGG